rnacentral:lncRNA from 1 species
CAGAGCAGCCUCUAAGCACUGAGCUCAGACUCCUGCCAGGCAGGAGAACCUGGGCUCUCCUGCUCAUCCAUGGCUGCCUCCCCAGGCAGGAAUUGUCCACAUUUCAGAAGCCAUUUGUUCAGGGGGAUGGCAUUAGUUCACACAGGAUCCAGACGAAUCUAAUGAAAAUGAUAAGAGUAACAAGAACUCCUCCCCCAGUGUAUUCCUCAAAUCCGUCCAGGAGUUCCAAGAGCCAUCAGCUUGUUUCCAUUCUGGCCCUUGGCUGAGGGUCCUUAAGCACCACCUGGUGGCCAUGAGGCAUCACAACAGACAAUGAAAUGGUAAGUUCUUAGGAACUUAGCAUUCUGACAUCACCCCACCCAACAAAGAUCAUGUGCCCUAGCAACAAUGGAACUUUAUUAUUUAGAAGUCACCCCUUCUCCUAGGAAAGGAAAAAGAUAUAUCACCCAUGCUCAAAGAAAAUGAGCCAAACUUGAGUUUAGGAGAUGGCAGCCACACACAGCAGGCUGUCUUGUAAGGGGCACAGCAGCAACCCCAGGCCACAGAGGGCAGAGCCUCCAGGACCCAUCACUGGAGAUGACUGCCUGGGCAGACUCACUUCACCGUUAGAGAAGUGUGGCCUUCCCUGGUGGCUCUAGGUUCACAGUACACAGAAUUACCUGCUUUGAGGCAACGCUUCUCUUACCAAGUAGUGACUUAAGAAACAAGAUGUAUGUAAUACUAGUGCCUGGGAAGGAAAAACCACCAAGUAUGGAAGAGAUCAGUUAUGACAGCAGACAGCCUCUUUCACAAAGUACACUGAAGGAUUCCCGGGUCACUGCCUAGGAUGGCUCCUCCGGCUGCAUUCCAAGGUUUUAAAUCUAUUACACGUUUUAGACAAACUCUUCCAGUCUUGACUCAGCACCUCCAAGAGCUCAACUGCACCAUCUCCAUGAACUAUUCCACAGCCGACCCAACCUGGCUCAAGGGGGAAAGAAGACUGGCUUGUGAUGGCCUCUUCCAUAGCCUACCCUUGGUUCACCAGCAGUUUCGAGGCAGUUUGCUAACAAGAAACCCAGUCUGGAACUAGCAUAUUUGAGUUGCAGUAUUUUGGACAGAUGUCCUAUACUAUUUAUCUAGUAGCAAGAGUAUAGGUCUGGAUCCAAGGAGAAAUUUCUCCCUCACAACCCACAAUGCUCAGGAGGGAGACCAUUCAUGUUCCAUCCCUGCAAGGUUAGUUCUGGCAGGCUAAGACACUGCAGUCCUAGACACUUCCACCAGGGAACAAAAGCAGUGCCACCAGGUUAUUCUGAGCUCCUUUGCCUGGAGAUCAGGGGUUGCUGAUACAGGGAGGAAAGUAUAUGGGAUGUGGGUGAGUCACUAGGGCACUUUUUGGAGCUUCCCAGUGGCUAGGCUUCACAAUGGCCAUAACCUGACCAGACCAGGAUCUCAGACCACUUAGGAACAAAAGACUUUGGUCACCUAAACCAGUCAAGUGUUGGCCAGCUGUGAUGUAGUUCGCAGAAGAUACAGUGACUAUCAACUACAUCUUAGAAUGACAGUCCUUACAGACCCGAUUUGAAACCAUAGCUGCCCAUCACUUGCAGAUCUGACAACAUGUCACACACCACCUUCACAGAACUGUCUGGCUGUGAGCAUGCUUACCUACUAAGGGCUCUAGCUGUUAGCUCAUGUUCCUUUUGGGGUGGCCCCAAGCCAACAUUGAGCUGAGCCAUUUCCACCUAAUGUGGGAUUCAAAUUGAGGAUUAUCUUGCUCCAAAGCUCCCUGCUGGACUGGCAAAAUUGUCAGGUUCAAUUAUGAUGGGACAGCUUCCCUUUUCUUAAAUCGUAGAUCUUUUGUAUUCCUAAUUUAGUGCAUAUACUUUCCAGACAAUUCAACCACACAACCACCAUGAGCCAUGAGUGUCAGUGGAUGUAACGUGGUCCAAGCUGGGAAGUCAGAUUCAGCACUGCCUCCUCCCCUACCAACCUGGAAGAACCUUGGCUCUUGGCGAGAAGCAGCUACUAGCACAAAGAUGGGGACCACACUGACAAGGCAGCCUCACACCUUCUGACGCUGCACACGGGUCCCCUGCAUGCCUGUCCCUCCAUGAGUAUCAGUAGGCUCCCUUUUCAAAGUUUGGACAUCACAGUGAGUUAAGUUUGAGAGGCAGAAUCAACACCAAGAAAGUGUCCUGGGGAGCUGUGAGGAUAUGCUGUCACAUUCCGGCGGUUGACUCCUUUACUGAGACUCAUCUGUGUGAAAUGAGUCGGUGAGGAAGAUCAAUCAGCCUCGACCAAUACAAUCUGUACAACCUAAGGUGAUCUGGCCUAUUCUGCCCAAGCAGUUCAGUCAUGAACCACCUGAAGAAGUGGAACCACCAACUCAAAGUCAAGAUUCUUCACCUGCUCAGGAGAGAGAGGACGACGGAGCAUCUGCAGCUCAAAGCCCUGAGCUGAAAGCUGAUUGCCAGGAACUGGUUCAAAGACUGGGUAUGAGCAUGGAGAUGAUCCUGAUGUGAAGGGGAUGUGCCUACUAAACCCCAGAGCCUGGGAAACUGCCAGAAGGUGAAAAGCAAUCAGCGUUAAAAGACAUGCUGAAAUGAUGCGGGCUGCUAUGUUGGGAAUUUGUUCAUUCAAAGUUCUCUCAGUUUACAGCCUUCCGGGAGGGGGGAAAAAUAGUCUCCAGAGGAGCUGCCCUGCAGAAUUUGCUACUGGGUGGGAUAAUUUAUGGUACGCAUAGAUAUUGUCACUUUGCCACAGCAUUAACCAUUGUGGUGGUUAACACUGAAGUGUCAACUUGAAGGAGGCAAACUAUUGUUCCUGAGUAUAUCUGUGAGGGUGUUGCCAGAUAAAAAUUUGAGUCAGUGGGCUGCGAAAACCAGACCCAACCCUUCUCAUCUGUUGGGCACAAUCUAAUCAGCUGCCAGCAAAUAUAAAGCAGGCAGGAAAAAUGAAACGGUGAGACUGACCUAGACCCCCAGCCUACAUCUUUGUCCCAUGCUGGAUGCUUCCUAACCUCUCAAACAUCGGACUAAGUUCUUCAGUUGAGACUUGGACUGGCUCUGCUCCUCAAGCUUGCAGACAGCCUAUUGGGGAUCUUAUGGUUGUGUAAGUUAAUAAACUCCCCUUUAUA